rnacentral:rRNA from 1 species
UGAGGAAUAUUGCCCAAUGGACGCAAGUCUGAGGCAGCAACGCCGCGUGGGCGAUGAAGGCCUUCGGGUUGUAAAGCCCUUUUCUGGGGGAAGAGGAAGGACGGUACCUCAGGAAUAAGUCACGGCUAACUACGUGCCAGCAGCCGCGGUAAUACGUAGGUGGCAAGCGUUAUCCGGAUUCACUGGGCGUAAAGCGCGUGCAGGCGGUUUCGUAAGUCGGACGUGAAAGCUCCUGGCUUAACUGGGAGAGGUCGUUCGAUACUGCGGGGCUUGAGGUCGGGAGAGGGACGUGGAAUUCCCGGUGUAGUGGUGGAAUGCGUAGAUAUCGGGAGGAACACCAGUGGCGAAGGCGACGUCCUGGCCCGCACCUGACGCUGAGACGCGAAAGCGUGGGUAGCAAAC